rnacentral:tRNA from 1 species
GGGAGGGUAGUCUAGCUUGGUAUGAUACUAUAAAUAAUAAAUUUUUAUAGCUUAAAACUUGGCUGGGGGCCAAGUGGUCGGGGGUUCAAUUCCCCCCUCUCCCA